GCCAGCAGCCAUAUCACUCUGCAACUCACAACUGGCAACCCACUGAAGCUCAGCAGGUGUGAGCCUGGUCAGUACCUGGACAGGAGACCUCCUGGGAAAAACUAAGGUUGCUGCUGGAA
ensembl:rRNA 5S_rRNA 5S ribosomal RNA